AUCCAAGUGCUGGAAUAGGGAGACAGAGUAGGUUUAAAUUCUAUUGAGUAUUUACUCGUGAGCGUUCAAGUCGCUCCUUGGAUA
rnacentral:tRNA from 1 species